UACGAAGGGGGCUAGCGUUGCUCGGAAUCACUGGGCGUAAAGGGCUCGUAGGCGGCCAACUAAGUCGGACGUGAAAUCCCUCAGCUUAACUGGGGAACUGCGUCCGAUACUGGAUGGCUUGGAUUUGGGAGAGGGAUGCGGAAUUCCAGGUGUAGCGGUGAAAUGCGUAGAUAUCUGGAGGAAUACCGGUGGCGAAGGCGGCAUCCUGGACCGAGAUUGACGCUGAUGAGCGAAAGCUAGGGGAGCAACGGGG
rnacentral:rRNA from 1 species